GAAAAGUCAACACUGCCUGAAUCUGCGGGAUGCAAGUCCAGAUAACCCAUCUUAAGGGUCCAGGCCAUAAGCUGAUGCAGAGGAAACAUAGAUAACUGAUAUAAGAUAUGUGAGGGAAGCGGACAUUGUAGAGGUGGUGUUGCGUUGAUGGCAGCCAGUGAUUAUUGAGGACGUCCUCGUCGAAGCGUUCCAGGAGCGGGAAGACCGGGAAGUGGACAAUGUCAUCCGUGAGGUGGGACCAGGCUGAUGGACAUUAUGGAAAACAAUACAACCGGGUAUGCAGGGGCAACAUUAACAUGAAUCAUCACGCCACAGGCUUGUAAAACUAGGAAGGAAAAGAUGGAGGAGCGGGAUGUGGACCAGCUUAUCCGAGGGAAGGAACAAGUCUGAGGCCACUAACCUAUUUGGGACUUGACCCAGCAGUUCUUUUCCCCCAUCAUGCCCAGCAGACUGGUCCAACAUUUUUCAAGUUCCACAGAAAUGUGCUGCCUGGAAAUUGGCUGCCUUUUGGAGUAUGUGCAUAAGGCUCAGGACUACAUAUGCGGAUUGAGAUAUCUAGGACGGCCAUUAGGAGCUCCUUGGCCAUUUUCCAUCGAAAACAACCUCAGAUGUUUAUGGAC